rnacentral:lncRNA from 1 species
GCCUUUCUUGUUGGGUUUCCUGACCAGCUGACCCCUUUGGAUCAGUAAAUCUUCUUAGGGGCGAGUUCAGAACGUAGGCAUUCACCUCCGCCACUGUAACAGUCUCCAGUUUCCUAACACCACUGUACUGCGUUAUAUUGUAGGUCACUGCCAGAUGUGGCACCCAACACCAAAGGAUUCAUGGUCGACCGUUUCAGAAUCUCGAGCUCAUCAACA